rnacentral:lncRNA from 1 species
GUAGAGUUUCUUGGGGAUGCUAUUAGGUCACAGAUUCAUAGGUAAGGGAUGCAGUUAGGUUACCCUCAUUUUAUACCUACCCCAUGUGCUCGAUAAGAGAGAUAUUCCAUUCAACAAGUUUCUAGUUCAAGUUCCGCUCGAAAGUAAUCUGCAAGUGGUUCCUCAAGUGGAGAAGAACAAUCAAUUACUGGAUCUUAAGCGAGAAGGUCAGUUUCAAGUCGUUAUAAAUCCUACUCUGGAGCAAUGAUGUUUCUGUUGGAGUAAAGUCGUAGAUAUUAGAUGAAGAAGAGGCAUAAUCCGCAGGUCCAGGUUAAUAAAUUGAUGUUAGAGUUUCUCGUAAGGGAACAGAGUGGAUGGGUGCAGGUGCAUUCGUGUUAUUACAUUCUUCUAUUAUGGCCAUGUACUCUUGGUAACACCUAUGCUCUUGUUUCUUCGUAUAACACAGGGUAUCCUGAGUUCAGUUAAGUCUCCUUCUAUUCGACGAGUAUCUUUGGGUUUGGUGCUUUCCCACAAAUAGAAGUCAGUUAAGGGGUCAGCAGCAAGUUAUAAGUCAGCUACAAGACGUUGUGCGCCAACAGGAGUUUUUGACGGAAAGGGAGUGGAAAGAGAAACCCCAGUGUGAGGAAGAUCUAGGAGAGGUGGUAUAGGUGCGACUCAUAUUGAAUUCCACUCCUCCGGUCUAAUACUAAAACGAUUAUGACUCAUACUUAUACUACCUGUUAGGGCAAGAACUAUACUUUAUGAACGGACCUUCACUCAAGCUUGCUUCAAAGCCGAUACUUUCUUCUUUUCUUCCUCUAACUGCUAGCCUUUCCUUUCGAAAUACCUUUGUUUGUUCCCUAGCUUGUGUCGGUUAAGUAGGCAGUAGCUCCUUCUCGUAGCGUAGAGAUGGGUUCGGCGGUAGAGGGAAGC